rnacentral:rRNA from 1 species
GAUGAACGCUGGCGGCGUGCCUAAUACAUGCAAGUCGAGCGAACGGACGAGAAGCUUGCUUUUCUGAUGUUAGCGGCGGACGGGUGAGUAACACGUGGAUAACCUACCUAUAAGACUGGGAUAACUUCGGGAAACCGGAGCUAAUACCGGAUAAUAUUUUGAACCGCAUGGUUCAAAAGUGAAAGACGGUCUUGCUGUCACUUAUAGAUGGUUCCGCGCUGCAUUAGCUAGUUGGUAAGGUAACGGCUUACCAAGGCAACGAUGCAUAGCCGACCUGAGAGGGUGAUCGGCCACACUGGAACUGAGACACGGUCCAGACUCCUACGGGAGGCAGCAGUAGGGAAUCUUCCGCAAUGGGCGAAAGCCUGACGGAGCAACGCCGCGUGAGUGAUGAAGGUCUUCGGAUCGUAAAGCUCUGUUAUUAGGGAAGAACAUAUGUGUAAGUAACUGUGGACAUCUUGACGGUACCUAAUCAGAAAGCCACGGCUAACUACGUG